CAAGUCGAGCGGUAACAUUUCAAAAGCUUGCUUUUGAAGAUGACGAGCGGCGGACGGGUGAGUAAUGCCUGGGAAUUUGCCCAUUUGUGGGGGAUAACAGUUGGAAACGACUGCUAAUACCGCAUACGCCCUACGGGGGAAAGCAGGGGACCUUCGGGCCUUGCGCUGAUGGAUAAGCCCAGGUGGGAUUAGCUAGUAGGUGAGGUAAAGGCUCACCUAGGCGACGAUCCCUAGCUGGUCUGAGAGGAUGAUCAGCCACACUGGGACUGAGACACGGCCCAGACUCCUACGGGAGGCAGCAGUGGGGAAUAUUGCACAAUGGGGGAAACCCUGAUGCAGCCAUGCCGCGUGUGUGAAGAAGGCCUUCGGGUUGUAAAGCACUUUCAGCGAGGAGGAAAGGGUGUAAGUUAAUACCUUACAUCUGUGACGUUACUCGCAGAAGAAGCACCGGCUAACUCCGUGCCAGC
rnacentral:rRNA from 2 species